UUCCUCGCUUUCUGUAUCUCCCAUCACAUUUUAUACUACACUUCAAUGAAAAUGGAUAAUUGCAAGUGUUGAAGAUUGUUUUAUACAUUUCGCGCACCAUUCUCGGUUCUAAAACAUCAAAAAGCAACGCAGUGUACAGUGCAACAACUGCAUCAUGGCUUAUCGUUGCUUGUUAGUUGCGGCACGGGCAAAAUCUCAUCACCAGCAAAAACCCAUCUAGAUAAGGACGACCGACGACGGGCCGAAAAGUCACUGCACAAGGUGACCGAAAAUACGCUCCGUUCGUGUAUGCGGCUACGUGUGUUUGGUUUGUUUUUAUUUUCUCGUAUUGUUUCUUUGUUUUUCGUUUUGUUUAGUAACUGCAGAAUGACAAAUCUGCUUUUGGAGACAGACCUCCAGAUCGUACCGUCGAUUGCUGAUGAAUUCGUCCCGGUUUCUUGAGAGCGUUGGAAUUUGAAUGUGGAAGAAAACAACAAAAUAAUAUUAAACGAUCGCUUGUGAGAUAAACAUAAAGUGUUAUUUGGCAAAAAAAAAAAAAUGUUUCUAUCAUAUAUUAGGGAAAUGCCGAAAUGAGUAGAAUAAAUUAAGAACCUUUCUAAGAGGCUUAAUAAAAAGGCUUACGUAGUCCAAAAAGUGACACACAAAAAAAAGCAAACACCAUGAAGGGCAAACUUGAGCGAAACGAGAAUGGGGCGUAAAAGUAUGGCGCGUUUUGGGAUGGUGGAGUCGUAUGUGCGCGCAAAAAGAAAAAGGGCAGCAUGUAUUGGGGAUACUGCGUUCUACGAACACAGCGACACUGCUUACGGCCAUAAAUAAGCGUACGGGCAGUACGAAGCGAAACGUUGAAUGCGCGCCGACACUGCCAGACAUUGUGCCGCCAUCGUCGCGAUCACGUUUUUCUGGCGCGACAGCACACGCCGCAGAAUGAUUUUUAGAACGCCAGAGGAAGGGGCCGAAACCACUUGCCGGAUGGAAGUCCCCAGAGGCGUGGUGUGGACUGUGGCUAUUAAGGAAAUGCCAAGGAAAAAACAUGCCACCGUACACGACGGAAGCACAUAAGCGCACGCUAUAACCCACGAUCGAGACAACCUCGAGUCGGAAAUGAUCGGAUCGGAAAUGUCGUCGCCAGUGGUGAGGAGGAAUCGCAUCGUAUCAUCUUAACCAUACACAUUCGAUGCACUGCCUGUGCCUCUUGAAGCCCCGGGUUUUCUGCUACCACACAACUGACUGACUGUUUCUAUCGCUACCGUACGCCCACUUUCACGGCUCGACGUGCGGUGAUUCAUUAAUUGCGAGCGCUAGAAACACGAUCGCUCAAGAAUGAAUGGUACGCGGCUAAUGGUAUAAAUUUAAUUAUUAUUCUUCCCCUCGGUCCACUGGUGGUCUUUUUUUAACUGUGUGUUACUGGAGGGAAUUUAAUCUGGAGUUUGGUGGAACGGCUGGCAGCGGAAAGUCGGAUCUGUUCCGAGCCGUUACUUGAAUUAUGUUUUAUGUUUACGAUCGUGUAAUGUACAACGAAUGGUUGAAGAUUUGUUUUGAUUGUUUGAAUGAAUUAAUAAAUCGAGUAUAACGUGAUGAUUUUUAAAUAA